CACAGGUAUUGAUCUGGAUGAGCACAGCCCUCUGAUUGCAAGGCCUGUCUGGAUGUAAGCACAAAGGGAUUCUUCUAACAGGUGGCUGUAAAAAACAAGAUCUGGAUUACAUAUUGCACUUUAGGGAACAGUCUGGGAGUUGAAGUUGGCGAGGUGUGUAGUGCCAUGGGGAUGGGAGAGAGGAUUAUUCUUUCCAAAAUUUGCAAGUCUGCCUAACUUAAAUGGCUGCGUCACCUGCAGUGAUGAUGGUCAUGGCUGCCCCUCAAGCUCCAACCCGAUUAAGAUGACGGAGGAUCGACAGAGCAGAACUCCAUUUUGUCUUUGGCCACCAAGAAGCAACAUUACCCUAUCAUUUCUUUUCCUUUUCUUUACAACCUCCUUUCUGCUGCUGUUAAUAAAUCCAAUUUUCAAGAU